GAUGAACGCUGGCGGCGUGCCUAAUACAUGCAAGUCGAGCGAACAGACGAGGAGCUUGCUCCUCUGACGUUAGCGGCGGACGGGUGAGUAACACGUGGAUAACCUACCUAUAAGACUGGGAUAACUUCGGGAAACCUGAGCUAAUACCGGAUAAUAUAUUGAACCGCAUGGUUCAAUAGUGAAAGACGGUUUUGCUGGCACUUAUAGAUGGAUCCGGGCCGGAUUAGCUAGUUGGUAAGGUAACGGCUUACCAAGGCAACGAUGCGUAGCCGACCUGAGAGGGUGAUCGGCCACACUGGAACUGAGACACGGUCCAGACUCCUACGGGAGGCAGCAGUAGGGAAUCUUCCGCAAUGGGCGAAAGCCUGACGGAGCAACGCCGCGUGAGUGAUGAAGGUCUUCGGAUCGUAAAACUCUGUUAUUAGGGAAGAACAAAUGUGUAAGUAACUAUGCACGUCUUGACGGUACCUAAUCAGAAAGCCACGGCUAACUACGUG
rnacentral:rRNA from 1 species